UCCCUGGUGGCUCAGAGGUUAAAGCAUCUGCCUGCAAUGCAGGAGACCCAGGUUCGAUCCCUGGGUCAGGAAG
rnacentral:tRNA from 1 species